rnacentral:rRNA from 1 species
AUUGAACGCUGGCGGCAGGCCUAACACAUGCAAGUCGAACGCAGUGGGGACGGGUGAGUAACACGUGGGUAACCUCCCAUCAGAGGGGAUAACACUUGGAAACAGGUGCUAAACCGAUACUGAUGGAUGAACCCGCGGUGCAUUAGCUAGUUGGUGGGGUAACGGCUCACCAAGGCCACGAUGCAUAGACGGCCUGAGAGGGUGAUCGGCCACACGGGGACUGAGAGACGGCCCAGAGGCCUACGGGAGGAAGCAGUAGGGAAUCUGCGGCAAUGGACGAAAGUCUGACCGAGCAACGCCGCGUGGGUGAAGAAGGGUUUCGGAUCGUAAAACUCUGUUGUUAGAGAAGCGGUAUCUAACCAGAAAGCCACGGCUAACUACGUGCCAGCCGCCGCGGUAAUAC